GGGGCGUGUCCAACAGCCGGCGCGUGCGGUCGCAUGGAGUAGGAGCUCCCGGCCACAACGGACCCGAACGCAACAUUUAGGCGAACCCGGAGGUCAAUUCCCGGUAAAAAACUUACCCGGCACUUAAUACAGCGACAUGGCACCGUCCAAACAAUUAAAAAUGACGGACCAAAUGAAAACCGCCAGAAAAGAAAAAAGUAGGCCCCUGCAAGAUGGCGACGACAGCAUGGGCUGCUAUCCGACACCAGAUCAGCUUUCAGAUAAUGACACAACGCCCUCCUCAUACACAGAGGCACCAGCCAGCGAAAAAAGGCUGUUUAUAAUGCUGCAAGACCUGAGAACCACCUUAAAUGCGGACAUGAAACAAAUGACUGCAGAAUUUAAGCGGGAAUUGGCCGACAUUGGGGACCGCACUGACCGCCUGGAGGUACGGACGGAAGAACUGUGCGCCACACAAAAUGACCUUGCAGAACAACUGCAGGCGCUCAGGGAAGAACACCUAACACUGAAAAGGAAAACGGCAGAUAUAGAAGACCGCUCCAGGCGCAAUAAUGUAAGAUUCAGAGGCAUCCCCGAUAGUAUAUCCCACGACGCACUCCCUGACUAUAUAACAGGCCUCUGCACCACUCUGGCGCCGGCCAUUGAGAAAGACAGAUGGCUUAUGGACAGGGCCCAUCGCAUUCCUCGGCCACCGCGAUUCACGAGUGACACACCAAAAGACACGGUGGUCAGAUUCCACUUCUUCAAGUCAAAAGAAACACUGAUGGCUGCGGCGCGCAAACUACAGCAGCUCCCCUCACCAUACCAAGGCAUCCAGGUAUACGCAGAUCUCUCAGCGCUCACCAUGGAAAGGAGAAGGGAAUUCAUCACAGUCACGAAGACUCUACGCAACCAUAACAUACAAUACCGCUGGGGAUACCCAACUAAACUCCUACUAUGGAAGGACAACACGCAUCAUAAUAUUGACACUCCUGAUGAGGGCCUACAACUCCUGCGAAAAUGGGGACUAUUUGGGACCAAAGACCCUCCACCACAGAAACAACAUGCGCACCAACGACUGCCGACGGAAUGGCACAUGGCGGGCUCACCUAAGCCACAGCAACCACAACAAAAUGUAUAACGGGACUAAGUGUAGAGUACAAGAAAGACCAGGUCUAUAUGUGACAUCCCUCAACUGAAGAGACACCAAUAUGUAUGUAUGUAUGCACUGACAUGAUUGACACACUAACACUGCAUACCUCAGAUAUCCACUCCAUCCGAGUUCAUAAUAGGCUCUGGCAAGGCGACACAAAACACAAAGAAAAAAAAAGAAAAAAAAAAAACACGCCUUACUUCACACAUUUGUUUAAAGGGCCGUUGACACGGCAGCACACCUCAGUUCACGCCUCCCAGGUUGAUCCGCGGCCCGGUUCAGGAGCGGUCCGCAGACCAACCAAGUACAAUGCCCGCAUCCCAAGGGGCAUCAUGUAU